rnacentral:lncRNA from 1 species
CUUGGUUCUCCCAGGUUCCCUUUUAUAGGAGGGGAUUACGUUACCUGGGAGGUAACCGGGGGAUUUGUCCCUGUCUGUAAUAAUUGGGCACGAUUUGGCCCAUUUAUGGUGUAGUGGAGAACGGGGCCGAAUCAGACCGGAACCAGGGAGUUGUCACGGUCGAUCGGACCUGUUGGAGUGGUUGAACCGCCGGCCGUAGCGGGCCUGGGGUCUGUGGAUGGUAAGUGCAUUUAUUACCGAAUGAACCGGCGGCCAGGUAGAGCCAUACGCUCUGAUGGUUCAGUGAUCCGGAGAUCGUCUUGGGCCGUGUUCAUUAAAUGCCUGGGUGCAUCGGAGACUUGAGAGAGUCUCGUGCAUUAAUGGCAGGUCGUGCCGAAUACCUGCGAAGAUCUUAUGCCUUGAUGGCUUGGAGAUAGUGGCAGGUUAUAGUGGAGUUGUCAGGUCCCUUAGAGGGUUAGGUGGAAAUUGGAUAUUUGGCUAAGGCAUGGACUCGGCCUGCUGUGCUCGGCCUUCUGGUCUCGGCCUUCUGGUCUCGGCCCUCUGGUCUCGGCCUUCUGGUCUCGGCUCUCUGGUCUCGGCUCUCUGGUCUCGGCCUUCUGGUCUCGGCGCUCUGGUCUCGGCUCUCUGGUCUCGGCUCUCUGGUCUAUGAGCUCGAGAGCGGAAGAGCCCAAUCACUUAGGAUGAGCUCGAGAGCGGAAGAGCCCGAUCACUUAGGAUGAGCUCAAGAGCGGAAGAGCCCG